GGGCGUAAAGCGUAUGCAGGCGGACAUGCAAGUCAGAAGUGAAAUCCCAGGGCUUAACCCUGGAAUGGCUUUUGAAACUGCAUGUCUCGAGUCUCGGAGGGGCCAGCGGAAUUCUCAGUGUAGAGGUGAAAUUCGCAGAUAUUGAGAGGAACACCAGUGGCGUAGGCGGCUGGCUGGACGAGUACUGACGCUCAGAUACGAAAGCGUGGGGAUCAAACAGGAUUAGAUACCCUGGUAGUCCACGCUGUAAACGAUGUGUGCUAGUUGUCGGGGCCUUCAGGUCUCGGUGACGCAGCUAACGCUUUAAGCACACCGCCUGGGGAGUACGGUCGCAAGAUUAAAACUCAAAGGAAUUGACGGGGACCCGCACAAGCGGUGGAGUAUGUUGUUUAAUUCGAAGCAACGCGAAGAACCUUACCUACACUUGACAUACCUCUUGGGGCUUUCAGAGAUGAUUGCUUUCGGUUCGGCCGGGGAGGAUACAGGUGCUGCAUGGCU
rnacentral:rRNA from 1 species